rnacentral:miRNA from 1 species
GUUUGAUGGAUGGAUUGGAUGGAU